rnacentral:piRNA from 1 species
UAGUAGCUCUGAAGCAAGUGAAGAAUC